GCUUUUCAUAAGAGUGAGGAUCUUGCUCGCGAAGUCGCCCAACUGCCAGAACCAAACCUGUUCCCAGCCCAACACCAAGGGACUGGUAGUAGAGCCACAUUUUCUGAUGCGGUUUGAUUUUCCACAAGGUUCAAAACCGCCUUUCUAAGUCAUGGUAUUUGAACCUGAGGUAUGCGCAGAGAAUGCCACAGGACGAUGAUGAAAGCGGAGGCUCGAGGGACGCCAAGCACUGCCGGGGACACCAGAAGCCGGGAAGAGACAAAGAGGGGCCUCCCAAGAGCCCACAGACACAGCGCGUCGCACCCGGCAGCUUGAUUUCCGACUUCCGGCCUCCGAAACCGUGCAACCAUAGGUUUCUGUUGUUUUAAGCCACCUGUUCUGCUGUACCGUGUGGAAGCUCUGGAAAUUAAUAAAGAUUUAGGUAUUUCUUAUUUGUCAUAAAAUACUCUUAAAUCGAGCACUGCUAUUGUCCUAGUUUGUUAGAGUGGAAGAGAGAUAUUAAAAUACAACGAAAGAGUAAUUCAUGAUUUGCCUCCACUGUGGUUGAUGUUUGAAAAAUAGUUCCAAAUUUAAAUUUAACCACGCAGAAAACAAAACUAGGAAAUUAAGAAACUUUUAGAAAUAAGUUCUUCAAUGUUUUAUCGGAUUUGAUAGCAGCUUUUUUUUAUUGGUUACAAAACCUAAGCCCAUAUACAAAAUUAGGAACACAUUUAGAUGCCUCUUUUGAAAGAACGUUUUAGUCUUUUUUAACUGAGUUUAAAAAAAAUAAAAACAAUGCGAUUUUCAACACUGUUCUGAAAACUUAAAAGUGCAGCAAUAUACUUAGUUUCCUUUGUCUAAGAAAUGGUGCAAUUCCAAUUCCAAACUGAUAAGGUCACAACAAAUUGAAUCAAGCAAAUGCAUACAUAUGUCUGCACUACUUGAUGCUAAUGUUCACUUAUGUUAGUUUGCACUUAAAACACAAGAGGAAUCGGAAUCGGCACAGUAGAGGCCUGAUUUAAUCUCAAUGUGUGCAAAAUUUAAAAGGUAACUGUCAGUAAGUAGGAUGGAGAGUCCAGAAGAAACUAAACCAGGAGGGGUACAAUUCACAAUAUCAAGAAGAUUUGGACUUUAAGGGUUUCACCGAAGUUUGUGACCUUAAUUGGCUUUGACUUUGUUAUUCCUACUUUUAGUGAACACCACACAGUUUCAAAAAUUUAGACUACAGUGUCUGAACAGGAUGCAGUUACCAUAUGAAGCUUUAACUCAAAAUUUGGAUAAAGAAAAAAAGGCACAAUGAACUUCAACUCAAUUUUAUGUGCACAAGAGUUGAAAAAUCUGAGCCACCUUAAAGAGAAAUUGAUUCUAAAAUUUAUAAAACCUAUAAAUAAUCAGAGGCCAAACCACUAUAUUAAAACAGAUUCUCUAGCAAGUAAAAAUCUUGCAGUUUAAACAUACGCUUGUAUCCAUUUUGGAUACAAGACAAAACUCACUCUUUAAAGUGGCUCCACCUUGGCAGAUACAUGUAUUUGUAAUGAAUGCACACCUGCUAUGUGUUGUUUAUCAGUGAAAACACCCCAGCUGAUUCACAAAGCUCUGAUGGCAUCGGUCUCAUCUUCAUCACAGUAAAUACACCCCCAUCGGAUAACUACGUUAGUUUAGAUUUUCUAUCCCUUCACAUCAACGCAUUGGGAAAUUAUACCCAGUAAACAAUAGCAACAAAACCAUUUCUGUGACAGCACAAAUCAUUCAGUUUAAACAUGUUCAAAUCCAUAUUCUUUCAUUAAUAACUGGGUCAGAUGACAAUCUACCAAAAGCAAUGAUUUUACAUAGUAAUACCAGAUUUUGCUUCAAGAUCACUGCAAAUCAGGUUUAUGCCAAAUAACUGCAGAUUAUUCCUCUACACAGAUCCUUGACUGAAUCUUUUAAUAUGUGAAUAUGCUUUUAGAGUAGGAUCUGAAUUAACUUUCCCAAUACUCAAAGAAUGAAGUUGUAUAACACUUCUAAAUAGUUGCUGGUUUGUUGCCAACCACAUUAUCAAAAGCACUGGUUACUAAGUAAAAAAUAUUUUAAGACUAAAUUACAGUAAACAUGAAGGCUCCACAGUUUAAACCCAAUAUAAAUCAACCAUAUCCAAUUAUCAAUUUAAAACAAAAAAUAUUAACUCCUGAAAGCUGAAAGCAAGAUUUUUUUUUUUUUUUUUAAACAUCACCAAUCG